GCGACGCCGCGUGAGGGAUGGAGGCCUUCGGGUUGUAAACCUCUUUCGCCAGUGAAGCAGGCCUGCUCCUUGUGGGUGGGUUGACGGUAGCUGGAUAAGAAGCGCCGGCUAACUACGUGCCAGCAGCCGCGGUAAUACGUAGGGCGCGAGCGUUGUCCGGAAUUAUUGGGCGUAAAGAGCUCGUAGGCGGCUGGUCGCGUCUGUCGUGAAAUCCUCUGGCUUAACUGGGGGCUUGCGGUGGGUACGGGCCGGCUUGAGUGCGGUAGGGGAGACUGGAACUCCUGGUGUAGCGGUGGAAUGCGCAGAUAUCAGGAAGAACACCGGUGGCGAAGGCGGGUCUCUGGGCCGUUACUGACGCUGAGGAGCGAAAGCGUGGGGAGCGAACAGGAUUAGAUACCCUGGUAGUCCACGCCGUAAACGUUGGGCACUAGGUGUGGGGGGCCUUUUCCGGGUCUUCCGCGCCGUAGCUAACGCAUUAAGUGCCCCGCCUGGGGAGUACGGCCGCAAGGCUAAAACUCAAAGGAAUUGACGGGGGCCCGCACAAGCGGCGGAGCAUGCGGAUUAAUUCGAUGCAACGCGAAGAACCUUACCAAGGCUUGACAUGUGCCGGUCGGCUCCGGAGACGGGGUUUCCUCCUGUUGGGGCCGGU
rnacentral:rRNA from 1 species